rnacentral:misc_RNA from 1 species
UCUCCGUUGGUGAACCAGCGGAGGGAUCAUUACAGAGUUAUCUAACUCCCAAACCCAUGUGAACUUACCAUUUGUUGCCUCGGCAGAGUCUACCCGGUAACUGUUCGGAGAAGCUACCCUGUAGCUACCCUGUAACGGCCUACCCUGUAACGCACUGCCGGUGAACGUUUAAACUCUUGUUAUUUUAUAGUAAUCUGGGCGUCUUAUUUUAAUAAGUCAAAACUUUCAACAACGGAUCUCUUGGUUCUGGCAUCGAUGGAGAACGCAGC